rnacentral:lncRNA from 1 species
UACUGCAGGUCUGAUACAAUUGGGUAAAAUUCAUGAUGAAUUAGAAAAGUUGGGUUGAUCAUCAAGAUAAAAAUUUGUUUUGUGAUUGAUGAUGCAUUUUGAUCAGAAAUUAUGUGGAUCAUUGAUGUUGAAUUAUUGUCUUUUCAUGAGAAAUCGAAGUUAGUCAACGAAAUUUGGACGUUGAAUCUUCAUAACACAUUUUCGGGCUUCAAAUAAUGAU